rnacentral:rRNA from 1 species
ACGAACGCUGGCGGCGUGCCUAAUACAUGCAAGUAGAACGCUGAAGAGAGGAGCUUGCUCUUCUUGGAUGAGUUGCGAACGGGUGAGUAACGCGUAGGUAACCUGCCUUGUAGCGGGGGAUAACUAUUGGAAACGAUAGCUAAUACCGCAUAACAAUGGAUGACACAUGUCAUUUAUUUGAAAGGGGCAAUUGCUCCACUACAAGAUGGACCUGCGUUGUAUUAGCUAGUAGGUGAGGUAAUGGCUCACCUAGGCGACGAUACAUAGCCGACCUGAGAGGGUGAUCGGCCACACUGGGACUGAGACACGGCCCAGACUCCUACGGGAGGCAGCAGUAGGGAAUCUUCGGCAAUGGGGGCAACCCUGACCGAGCAACGCCGCGUGAGCGAAGAAGGUUUUCGGAUCGUAAAGCUCUGUUGUAAGUCAAGAACGGGUGUGAGAGUGGAAAGUUCACACUGUGACGGUAGCUUACCAGAAAGGGACGGCUAACUACGUG